GUCAGAUUUAUUGUGGCAGGGGCAAACAGGCCAAGAGUAAAAUGAAGCAGGAAACUAUGGCACCUGACACCUCUAGUGGCCCACACUUUAAUCAGAGCUGGCAGAAAUUAAUUCAAGAGGAAUUUUUACACGGCUCCGCUGUCGUAUUCCGCCUUUAUGCUUGACUACAAAAAUCCUAAGGAGACUCUCUUGACAUCCCAAAACAAGAAUUCCUAUGUCCCUUUCUCACUCAUCCUUCUCAUACAAUGGUACAUAUUGAAGAAGCAUUUCCACGGGUACCUAUGAAUGUGGAUUUGAACACAUUUUUUUUCCAUCUACUACAGUAUCCAUUUCAGAUGCUUCUGACAGGAAUCUAAUUACAACUCUAUCAAGACCCAAAGUACUGUUGAGCUCACAGGGAGUGUGCACACCUACUAGAGUGUGUAAGCAAAUGCUAACAUUGAUAUACUAAAGACCCAACCUUACCAGUUGUAUGUAAAUACUUUCAUCAAUUGAAUAACUGCCUACCCUUCCGCUUCUCCUAAAUCUAAAUAUGCUGACGAGUAGCUAGUGGGAAAUAUCUAUAUGAAUGAUGUAUAAGUUGCUUGUCUUCCAAGACCAAUAAUGUCACCCUGAGAGAGGCAGAAAGAAGUUUCAGUCUUCAAGACAGAUGUUAAAGAUGUCCGGACUUAUUUAAAGGCUUAUCAGGCAGAAUUAAGAGGAUGAUUACUUGGUUUCCAGCAGUCAGGAAUAAGACCAGUGAUUGCAUUUUCUAAGAAAGCAGAUAAUAAGGGAGUCCUUUCUCAAAGUUACCCUAAGGCAAGAAGACCUGCAUUCAAAAACUCUCCAUUUGCAAUCCCAUGGAUACAAGCAGAGGCUUUAUGAAAUUUUCUUUGGCUGAAAAGGACAGUCUAAAAGCAGGGUCUGCAUUUAAGAGAGCUGCAGGACAGGUGAGCAGAAGGAGUGAGGGUGGUCAGAGCUUCGGGAAUCUAAACAUGCUAGGAAGCUGCUCAUCUACAGAGCCAUGCUCAGCACUUAAUAAAAACUAUACCAAUAAAAAUGUGUUCCAAGGUACAAGAAGGGCAGAGAGGGAAAUUAGUGGUGAAAGGGUGGAUUUACAACCAUCCGGGCACCAAUUUUUAUGAAUGAACCGCAUAAUAAAGUUAAAGUGAAACAAAAAACUUUUAUUCUUUUUUUUUUCCUUGGGCAUGAUUCUGAGGGGAAAGUACUUUCAUCA